rnacentral:rRNA from 1 species
GACAGAGGAGCCAAGCGUUGUCCGGACUGACUGGGCGUAAAGCGCCCGCAGGCGGCCGUGCACGUGGGGUGUGAAAGCUCGCGGCUUAACUGCGAGAGGCCAUCCCAUACGGCGCGGCUCGAGCCGUCCAGAGGCCGGUGGAAUUGCCGGUGUAGUGGUGGAAUGCGUAGAUAUUGGGAGGAACACCAGUGGCGAAGGCGACUUUCUGGACUGUGUCUGACACUGAGGCGCGAAAGCUAGGGGAGCGAACGGG